UAAGCGUGUAGUGAAAUUCCAGGGCUCAACCUUGGAACUGUUACACGAACUGGCAAACUAGAGUAUAUGAGGGGUACCUGGAAUUCCUGGUGUAGGAGUGGAAUCCGUAGAUAUCAGGAGGAACACCAAUGGCGUAGGCAGGGUACUGGCAUAUUACUGACGCUAAGGCACGAAAGCGUGGGGAGCGAACGGGAUUAGAUACCCCGGUAGUCCACGCCGUAAACGAUGGAUGCUA
rnacentral:rRNA from 1 species